GACGAACGCUGGCGGCGUGCUUAGCACAUGCAAGUCGAACGGUAAGGCCCUUCGGGGUACACGAGUGGCGAACGGGUGAGUAACACGUGGGUGAUCUGCCCUGCACUUGGGGAUAAGCCUGGGAAACUGGGUCUAAUACCGGAUAGGACCACUGCCUGCAUGGGUGGUGGUGGAAAGCUUUUGCGGUGUGGGAUGGGCCCGCGGCCUAUCAGCUUGUUGGGGGGGUGAUGGCCUACCAAGGCGACGACGGGUAGCCGGCCUGAGAGGGUGACCGGCGACACUGGGACUGAGAUACGGCCCAGACUGCUACGGGAGGCAGCGGUGGGGAAUAUUGCACAAUGGGCGCAAGCCUGAUGCAGCGACGCCGCGUGAGGGAUGACGGCCUUCGGGUUGUAAACCUCUUUCAGCACCGACGAAGCGCAAGUGACGGUAGGUGCAGAAGAAGGACCGGCCAACUACGUGCCAGCCGCCGCCGUAA
rnacentral:rRNA from 1 species